rnacentral:tRNA from 1 species
GUGCACGUUCGCAGAAGUACAGAUCUUCACCCUUCACACGGGUGGGGUCGCAGGUUCAAUCCCUGCCGCGCCCACCA